rnacentral:rRNA from 1 species
UACGGGGGGGGCAAGCGUUGUUCGGAAUUACUGGGCGUAAAGGGCUCGUAGGUGGCCAACUAAGUCAGACGUGAAAUCCCCAGGCUCAACUUGGGAACUGCGUCUGAUACUGGAUGGCUUGAAUUCGGGAGAGGGAUGCAGAAUUCCAGGUGUAGCGGUGAAAUGCGUAGAUAUCAGGAGGAACACCGAUGGCGAAGGCAGGUCUCUGGCCCACUACUGACGCUGAGAAGCGAAAGCAUGGGGAGCGAACAGG